GAAUAUGAAAGUUUAUACUUUGAAAGUGAUGCUUUUAUGGAACAUUUGGAAAGUUUGAAUUUAGGGUAACAUUAUAGUUAGGUAAUAUAUAAGAGAAUCCCACCCAACUCUCAAACCAUAGCAUGUUGUUUAAGUUAUUCAAUUUCAUUAUGAAACUUACAUCAAAUAUACUUUUUCAUCACUCAACUUUGAACUUUUUUU
rnacentral:lncRNA from 1 species